rnacentral:lncRNA from 1 species
GGGAAAUAGUAGCUACAGAGUCUUCUGAGUAGAUCCAGCCUUUGCCCACCGCUAAAUAAUCAGAUCCAGGGAAGCAUCAAAAGUCAAAGAAAGGAUGAAGAGAAGUUGCUUCCAGCAACAGUGGGUGGGGCUUUCCAUUUAAAUUCUGCCUUCAACUUCCAAAAAAUAUCCUCUUGGGAAACUUAUUACUCAUGAAAAUGAAGAGAAGGUGUUUUCCUCCAUGGAGCAAUCUCUGCCUUGAAAAGUCUCCAUCCCUCUUCCUAGCCCAGAGAGAUGAUCCCACAAGGAAGUGGAUUUUGUUGCUUAAUCCUAGUUAACUGAAUUCUGUUUUCCCACAAUAAAAUAAUAAAAGUAAUUUGGAAUAGCAUAACCUGAAUGUUCAUAUUUCC